rnacentral:rRNA from 1 species
GAUGAACGCUAGCGGCAGGCUUAACACAUGCAAGUCGAGGGGCAGCAUAAAUAGUAGCAAUACUAUUGGUGGCGACCGGCGGACGGGUGCGUAACGCGUAUACAACCUUCCCUAAACAGGGGGAUAAUCUGGAGAAAUUCGGUCUAAUACCCCAUAACAUCAGAGCAGGCAUCUGUUUUAGUUAAAAUUUCCGGAGGUUUAGGAUGGGUAUGCGUGGCAUUAGCUAGUUGGUGAGGUAACGGCUCACCAAGGCGACGAUGCUUAGGGGGACUGAGAGGUUAACCCCCCACACUGGUACUGAGACACGGACCAGACUCCUACGGGAGGCAGCAGUGAGGAAUAUUGGUCAAUGGGCGGAAGCCUGAACCAGCCAUGCCGCGUGCAGGAUGACGGCUCUAUGAGUUGUAACUGCUUUUGUACGAGGGUAAAGUGGGCUACGUGUAGCCUUUUGAAAGUAUCGUACGAGUAAGGAUCGGCUAACUCCGUGCCAGCCGCCGCCGUAA